AGCACAGGUGCUUCUGGCCAGCUCUCUCACCAAGGAACUUUUGUCUGGAAGAAAAGGGAAGUGAGUCCCACAAAGGAUCAUCAGGCCUCAGACUGGAGCUGCUUCUCUGACUGAAUGAGGAAACUCCACACCACAUUUCCCAAGUGCUGAGAAGGAAGCUGGGUCACAAGGAUGGUGGGAUUCAUCCUCUUUCAUCUCCUCUCUGCCCACAUUCUGUCUGUAGCUUCCAGGACUUCUAUCUGUUCUAACCUUUGACUUUAGUUAAUCGCACAAACUGAAGGCCUCACGCUAACUCA